rnacentral:rRNA from 1 species
UAUAGAGGUCUCAAGCGUUGUUCGGAUUCAUUGGGCGUAAAGGGUGCGUAGGCGGCGCGGUAAGUCGGGUGUGAAAUCUCGGAGCUUAACUCCGAAACUGCAUUCGAUACUGCCGUGCUUGAGGACUGGAGAGGAGACUGGAAUUUACGGUGUAGCGGUGAAAUGCGUAGAUAUCGUAAGGAAGACCAGUGGCGAAGGCGGGCCUCUGGACAGUUCCUGACGCUGAGGCACGAAGGUCAGGGGAGCAAACGGG